rnacentral:rRNA from 1 species
CCUACGGGAGGCAGCAGUGGGGAAUAUUGCACAAUGGGGGAAACCCUGAUGCAGCGACGCCGCGUGAGUGAAGAAGUAUUUCGGUAUGUAAAGCUCUAUCAGCAGGGAAGAAAAUGACGGUACCUGAUGAAGAAGCCCCGGCUAACUACGGGCCAGCAGCCGCGGUAAUACGGAGGGGGCAAGCGUUAUCCGGAUUUACUGGGUGUAAAGGGAGCGUAGACGGCAGCACAAGUCUGGAGUGAAAUGCCGGGGCUUAACCCCGGAACUGCUUUGGAAACGGUGCAGCUAGAGUGCAGGAGAGGUAAGUGGCAUUCCUAGUGUCGCGGUGCUAUGCGUAGCUAUUCGGAGGACCCCCAGUGGCGAAGGCGGCUUACUGGACUGUAACUGCCGUUGUGGCUC